rnacentral:rRNA from 1 species
CGGUCACGUUCGUUGCCUUCGAGGUAAAAGUAUAUGUUAGCAUGUUGGACGCUGCACUAAAAGUGAGGUCACAAACGCGCUGUUAUAUAGCUAAUACCAUAAGUGAAACGCAAUUAAGCAGACAGAUCACUCCACGAACUAAGAACGGCCAUGCACCACCUAUCACACAAUCAUGAAAGGACUAGCAUAUUUGAUAUGUAAAGAGCAGAUACUUUAAAUAAAUAAAGUAACGCUUUUACGAAACACCUGUCAAUCCUCAGUGUGUCCGGACCCGGUAAGAUUUCCCGCGUUGGGUCAAAUUAAGCCACAUGCUCCAC